rnacentral:lncRNA from 1 species
CAGCACUUUGGGAGGCCAAGGCGAGUGGAUCACCUGAGGUCAGGAGUUCGAGACCAGCCUGACCAACAUGGCAAAACCCCGUCUGUACUAAAAGUGCAAACACAAAGGGAACUGCGUGGCUUGUUUCUACCUGAACAUUGUCAAGUGAUUUCAUCCUUUGAAACACAGUUGUGAAGUGUGUCCAGCAGUCUGAGAACAAGAAGAAGAAGAAAAUCUAAUCCUUCAGGGUGUCUGUGUGCCAGCCCUGCUCUCAGCACUUCCCAUGUGGAACUCCUUUACUUCUCCUAACAACUCCAUGACAUGGGUUAGACUGUGAUUGUUCCCAUAUUGUUGGUAGGGAAACUGAGGCAUGCAGGUGUUACAGAGCUCUCUCAAGUGGCAAGCUUUCUGGGUGGUUACAGAGUGGCAGAGCUGGGGUAUCCCAUGAUGUCACCACACUGCUAUAUGGAAAAGAACAUUAAUCGAGCACCUACGUGCUUGAUUCUCUUAAUUCUGUGACUGAACUCUCAAAACACCCUGGGUAAGCACUAUCAUCUCCUAUUUUCACAAGUGAAAAAACUGGGAUUCAAAAAAAUUAAGUGACUUACCAAAUAUUACAGAGCUAGUAAGCCAAGACUUGAACACUGAGAUGGAAUUCUACCUUUUAAGGUGGCUAAGCAACAGAAGGAUGUUCCUUUCCCAAGGGGAGCAGUAUCUGAGAUCCAGGUAGAAAGACCAAAAGGAAAAUUAAGAACAGACUCUCAGACCUGCCUUCCCUUUGCAUUCAGGGUUGCCGUGAGGAGUAAAUGAGCUGUUGCAUGGGAAGCACUUAGCAUGGGGCCUGAUAAAUAGUAAGCCCUUGGUAAUAAUUACAUCUUCCGUGAUGCUAGACACAGAGGGAUUGAAAUGCAUAACAAUAGAGAUGAAACACGAAGAGUGAUAAAUGAAGAUUGAGUGUGCACACCUUCUGGAGGAGCCCUGAUUGAGUAUUUUAAAAUACUACUAAAGUCAUGCCGUGUGACUUCUGAAGCUAGCUCCUAAGAAGUCCUUGCAGCUUCUGCCUGCGACUCUUAGAACACUUGCUUUGAAGGAUGCCAGAUGCUGUCUUAAAAGUCUGAGCACUCUGAAACCAUCAUGCUGUGAGGAAGCCCAAGCUAACCACAUGGGCAAAAAAGAUGCCCUCUGACUGCCACCAUUUGAGACACUCUAAUUAAGAACUGCCUCAUUGAGCCCAUGAGGCCCUGUGAAUGAUAAUAAUAAAUUGUUUUUAACCAC